AUUGAACGCUGGCGGCAGGCCUAACACAUGCAAGUCGAGCGAGCGGCGGACGGGUGUGUAAUGUAUGGGAAUCUGCCUGAUGGCGGGGGAUAACUACUGGAAACGGUAGCUAAUACCGCAUACCAUCAGCUGAACCCAUAUGGGAUUAGCUUGUAGGUGAGGGAACGGCUCACAUAGGCGACGAGCCCUAGCUGGUCUGAGAGGAUGAUCGGCCACACUGGAACUGAGACACGGCCCAGACUCCUACGGGAGGCAGCAGUGGGGAAUAUUGCACAAUGGGCGCAAGCCUGAUGCAGCAAUGCCGCGUGUGUGAAGAAGGCCUUAGGGUUGUAAAGUACUUUCAGCGGGGAAGCGUUACCCGCAGAGGAAGCACCGGCUAACUCCGUGCCAGCAGCCGCGGUAAUUC
rnacentral:rRNA from 1 species